AGUUUUCUGAAUCCGUGCUGAGAUUUCGUCACACACCGACUCAUUAGGGCUGAUCAGACUUCCACGAUAAAUGAAGUU
rfam:Schistosoma mansoni, Puerto Rico, WGS project CABG01000000 data, contig: 0386